GGGGAAUAGCUCCGAGAAAUCGGGAUUAAUACCUCAUAGCAUCAUGAUAUGGCAUCAUAUUAUGAUUAAAGUCACGGCGGUUAGAGAUGGGCAUGCGUGCCAUUAGCUAGUUGGUGGGGUAGCGGCUCACCAAGGCAACGAUGGCUAGGGGUUCUGAGAGGAUUAUCCCCCACACUGGUACUGAGACACGGACCAGACUCCUACGGGAGGCAGCAGUAAGGAAUAUUGGUCAAUGGACGCAAGUCUGAACCAGCCAUGCCGCGUGCAGGAAGACGGCCUUAUGGGUUGUAAACUGCUUUUGUCAGGGAAUAAACCCUCCUUUGCGAAGGGGGCUGAAGGUACCCGAAGAAUAAGCACCGGCUAACUCCGUGCCAGCAGCCGCGGUAAUACGGAGGGUGCAAGCGUUAUCCGGAUUCAUUGGGUUUAAAGGGUGCGCAGGCGGGCUUGUCAGUCAGUGGUGAAAUCCUACGGCUUAACCGUGGAACUGCCAUUGAUACUGCAGGUCUUGAGUAUAGUUGAAGUGGGCGGAAUGUAGCAUGUAGCGGUGAAAUGCAUAGAUAUGCUACAGAACACCAAUUGCGAAGGCAGCUCACUAAGUUAUAACUGACGCUCAUGCACGAAAGCGUGGGGAUCAAACAGGAUUAGAUACCCUGGUAGUCCACGCUGUAAACGAUGAUCACUCGUUGUUGGCGAUACACAGUCAGCGACCAAGCGAAAGUGAUAAGUGAUCCACC
rnacentral:rRNA from 1 species